rnacentral:rRNA from 1 species
AUUGAACGCUGGCGGCAUGCCUUACACAUGCAAGUCGAACGGCAGCGCGGGAGCAAUCCUGGCGGCGAGUGGCGAACGGGUGAGUAAUACAUCGGAACGUGCCCAAUCGUGGGGGAUAACGCAGCGAAAGCUGUGCUAAUACCGCAUACGAUCUACGGAUGAAAGCAGGGGAUCGCAAGACCUUGCGCGAAUGGAGCGGCCGAUGGCAGAUUAGGUAGUUGGUGAGGUAAAGGCUCACCAAGCCUUCGAUCUGUAGCUGGUCUGAGAGGACGACCAGCCACACUGGGACUGAGACACGGCCCAGACUCCUACGGGAGGCAGCAGUGGGGAAUUUUGGACAAUGGGCGAAAGCCUGAUCCAGCCAU